rnacentral:rRNA from 1 species
GAUGAACGCUGGCGGCGUGCCUAAUACAUGCAAGUAGAACGCUGAAGCUUGGUGCUUGCACCGAGCGGAUGAGUUGCGAACGGGUGAGUAACGCGUAGGUAACCUGCCUCUUAGCGGGGGAUAACUAUUGGAAACGAUAGCUAAUACCGCAUAAAAGUCGAUAUCGCAUGAUAUUGAUUUGAAAGGUGCAAAUGCAUCACUAAGAGAUGGACCUGCGUUGUAUUAGCUAGUUGGUGAGGUAACGGCUCACCAAGGCGACGAUACAUAGCCGACCUGAGAGGGUGAUCGGCCACACUGGGACUGAGACACGGCCCAGACUCCUACGGGAGGCAGCAGUAGGGAAUCUUCGGCAAUGGGGGCAACCCUGACCGAGCAACGCCGCGUGAGUGAAGAAGGUUUUCGGAUCGUAAAGCUCUGUUGUAAGAGAAGAACGAGUGUGAGAGAGGAAAGUUCACACUGUGACGGUAACUUACCAGAAAGGGACGGCUAACUACGUG